UACGGAGGGGGGCAAGCGUUUGUUCGGAAUUACUGGGCGUAAAGGGCGCGCAGGCGGCUGCUCAAGUCAGGGGUGAAAUCCCGGGGCUCAACCUCGGAACUGCCUUUGAUACAGCAAGUCUUGAGUUCGAGAGAGGUGGGUGGAAUUCCUAGUGUAGAGGUGAAAUUCGUAGAUAUUAGGAAGAACACCGGUGGCGAAGGCGGC
rnacentral:rRNA from 1 species